GCAGUGGGCUCUCUCGCUCUUGUGUGGCCUGCUGCAUUUGAAAACUUUUUAGAUUUCUUCACCAAAUUGACCACUCCAACGAUCCCUUCGCUCUCCUCUCUCUCUCUCUCUCUCUAACUGGGCGACUCUCUCCAUCUUGUCAAUCUCUCUUCUGAUCUUUAGAUUGGUUCAUUGAUUACAAGGAUAAGGAAAGGGAGUGGUUAGAGAUGCCCAAUCGGGAGCUCCAGCACUGCUGCGACCACGGCCAGGGAGUCUUCAUCGUCUCCGUCGCCGUAUUCACCGUCGUCAUCCUCGCCUUGUGGAGGACUGUGCUGUUGACACCUUUCAAACUUAUCAGUGUUUCUUCAUGAAACGAGUCAUGUCCUAAGCAUAAUCUGUGUUUCAAUGUAAUGCAGGUGUCAUGAACAGCUUGUUUUCUGUCUACGAUAUUUACGAUGAUCUGAUAUCUCGAAGAGUUUACUCUAGUGAUGCUGAGAAGUUUGCUGAAAUUUGUGCUUGCCCCUGUAAUGGUGUUGGAUGGGGGGUUUAUUUGGUUUUAUGAUACAUUUGUAGAUUUGCAAUGUUCAUGGUCGUUUCGAGAUGGUUUGAAUGCAUCCAUGUUUACUUGGAUGGAAGGAUAGUGAGGGGAAAGAUAGUGAAAUGAAACCAGAUAAUUAAAUUGUUUUGUUUUGUUGUAGUUUUUUUUUUUAAAGUCAUUUAAAAAAAUAAAAAAGAAAUAAAAGAAGAAAAAAAAUAUCUGUCUGUCUGUUGAGUGAUGAAAUCCUCGGAUAUAAAUAGGAGGUUGGUUAAUGGCGACCGGUUUCAACGUGCAGGCCACGCGAUGGUGGCGGCCAAACAGCGCUCCUUUUGCGCCGGCGAAUCUCCUUUCUUUUCCCUGUUUAACCGGCGACAGCGAGGAUGGGGAAGGAAGGUUGCGAUGCCAUCUCCUCGUCGUCUCCUUUCACCCUUUUUAACUGCUGCGACAAAAAUGCUUCCUUUGCUUCUCGUUUGCCCUUUUCCCCCAUCUUCCUCCUUCUUCCUUGGUCGGCGCUCUCCUCUCUCUUAUCAGAUAGGUGGAGAAGAGCUGCACAGAAGAGAGCUGUAAGAUGCUGCAGAGGGCGGCGAGCAACGCGUACUCGUGGUGGUGGGCGAGCCACAUCCGGACGAAGCAGUCGAAAUGGCUCGACAGCAACCUCCAGGAAAUGGAGGACAUUGUGCAAAAAAUGCUCAAGCUCAUUGAAGCAGAUGCUGAUUCUUUUGCUAAGAGGGCGGAAUUGUACUUCAAAAGGAGACCGGAGUUGAUAGGUUUUACAGAAGAUGCGUACAGGGCAUACAGAGAUUUGGCUGAAAGAUAUGACCACGUAUCAGGAGAGUUGCACAAGGCCAACCACACCAUAGCAACUGCUUGUCCUGAUCAAGUCCAGUAUGCCAUGCUCGAGGAGGAGGACGAUAAUCUUCCAAAAGCAAUUAUCCCCAUUGAUCCGAGUAAAAUUAACAAACCUCUAGUGGAAGGAUUGAUGAAAAAAAGGAGAGAAAGUGAAUCAUCCAUAAAGAAGCAGCUGAAAAAGAUUAGUGUGCCUCAGAUGAGUGAAGAAGAGGCCCAAGAAGAGAUAAGUAAGCUUCAGAAAGAAAUAUUGGUUCUGCAUACUGAAAAAGAAUUCAUCAAGAGUUCAUAUGAAAGCGGGAUAGCCAAGUACUGGGGUAUCGAAAAGCAAGUCAUGGAUAUGCAAGAAAAAGUUUCUCGGCUGCAAGAUGAGUUCAGUACCGAUGCAGUCAUUGAGGACAAUGAGGCUCGUUCUUUAAUGGCAGCAACAGCUCUUAGGUCUUGUGAGGAUGCCAUGGUUAACUUGAAGGAAUGGAGAAAGAAAUCUCUGGAACAAGUGAAAGUAGAGUCCGAAAGAAUUGAGGUUGCUAAUCAAAAGCUGAAGUCUCUUAAAGGUGAGGAGGUGGAGAAUACUGAAGUAUCUAGCAAAGCCACACAGAUGAGCUUUGCUGCUCAAAAAAUAGAGGAAGAUGCUCUAAACAAAGCAAGGCUCGACUUACAGUACAUAUGUGAGAACGUUAAGAUACAUUUUGAGAUGAGUCCUGAAGGUUCUACGAUAGAAAUUGCUGAUAAGAUUAAUGAGCUUGUAAAUAAAAUUAUCACAUUGGAAAUAACUGUUUCAUCGCAGUCUGCACAAAUUAAUCAGUUAACUUCAGAAAACAAUGAACUUGAUAUAUCGCUUCAGAGAUUGGAAGAGGAGAAAUCAACUCUCAUCAAUGACUCAAAUGCAUUGUCUAAAAGACUGAAGGAAACUGAAAAAGAGUUGACCAGAGUCCGGGCAAUUGAGAAAUUUGUCCAUGACGAAGAAAUCAAUUUCAGUGAAAACUUUGCAGAAACCUGUUGCAGUCUCAGCAAUAUCUCAGAGAAGUUGCAGUCUUUCAAAGCUUUGAAAGAUGAUUGGACUGCAGAUGCACUCAUGGAGGAAGAGCCUUCCACAUGUAACACUGAACCAGAAGAACUAUUGCAAAGUAAUGAGAUAACUGAAAUCAAUGUUAUUAAGGACGAUUUGGAGAAAGAAGUUCGUACAACUCAAGAAUAUGGACAUUGUCAGGAAGAUGAUUCCCACAGUGAGGCAGCUUUUAAACUCAAGGAUGUUACAGAAAAGAUUGAUGACCCAAAGGAAAUAAAUCGAGUAGAGGAGAAAGGGUCAUCACAAACUGAUUCUAGCAUGCUUCUAAUCAACAAUUCAGAAAGGCUGCUUGAUGGAAAAGAUGACACUAUUUGCUUUCAUCAAAAGAUUCCUAGCGGAUUAGACGGUAAAGAAGGGAUUUUACAAGUUGAGUACACAGCACUUUUAAAAAAUGAUGAAAAGACAAAGAGAAGACUCUCCGAACUUGAGAAGAAACAUGCUGAAUAUUUUCAAGAUACACUGAUUUUGAUAGCAGAACUGAAAAACACCAUUUCAAUGAAAGAUGAGGAGAUACAGAUGUUGAGACAAAAAUUGGCCUCUCAAAAGACAAGUUGUAUUGUUACUGUGGACUCUUGGCAUGGUCAACAGAAGGUUGAGUUCCCACAGAAUUGUAAACCUCAAGGUUCUGAGACACCUGAUGGGCUAAAUGUACCAUCCACUAAUAGUCAGUCACUUGCUGUGUUUCCAGAAAAAGGCCUGGCAGAGAGCACUUGUGCAGACGAGCAAAAUAAUAUUUCAACUAUUGCAGAAAAGUUCAGAAGGGAUAUUGACAAUCUGAUUGAGGGUAAUUUAGAUUUUUGGCUAAGGUUCAGUACGUCAUUCCAUCACAUGCAGGAGCUGAAAUCCAAAUAUGAAGACCUACAAACUGAUAUCAGUAAGCUCAAGAAAAAGAACACAGUACAGAGUGAGGAUAGUCCCACCGCCGAUCCGACAAAGAAAUCUGAGUCACAACCAGUAAUCACAAGAUUGAGAGAAUUGAAAACCGAACUCUGUGUAUGGUUGGAACAGAGUGAAUUAUUGAGAGGGGAGUUGCAGAGUAGGAUCUCAAGUCUUUUUGAAUUGCAAGUGGAGAUAUCCAGUGCGAACAAUCCAAAAAUGGAAUCUGUGGAUGUUUUGUUCACUCUUUACGAGGCUGCAAAGUUUCAAGGCGAGGUGAUGAAUAUGAAACAGGAGAAUACUAAGGCAGUUGGUGAACUGCAGUUGGGGCAAGACCAUGUAAGGAAGCUUCAAGCUGAAAUUGAGGAACAACUGUCUAAAUCAUGUGAAAAUUUUGAACCAUUUCCUCCAGGCAGCCCUUGCGUUCACUCAGAUAGGCCUCCGAGGACUAGAGUACCUUUGAGUGUUUUCCUUUUUGGUGCCAAGCCUAAAACGCCAUCAUUCUUUGAGCGCAUACAACCAGUGUUUCAUAAACAACACAUGAAGCUUAGAGCUGGACGUCGGCCAGUUGCUUAAGUUGUGUAAACUGUUUAUAGAUAACCAAAGUGUUUGGUAUGUAUCUUCUACUCAACCAACUUUUUAUGGAAUUGUCUUGGACAGGUCCAAACAGUUUCCACAACCAGAAGAGUAACUCAUCUCUUGUUGGCAAAUAAUAUUACUAUGGUUAUGAUGUGACAAAGCUCUUCAAACAUAUAUUUUCCUGUUUGGAGGAUACCUUCCGUUUGUCUUAUUCGUUUUCCUCUGCUGGCUCAUUAGAGCAGCUUUUGUUAAUGGUGUUUCAUUGGUGAAAGUUGUUUCUUUCUUUGAAAUUGUUGCAAGUUUGAGUUAUGGUAAUACAUGUAAAUUAGGUGAAACCAAUUAUUUGUAAAGAAAAUAAAACCGUGUCUGUAUUUUUCUCCACUUGUACAUGGAAAAGCAGUGAGAAAUUGUAUGCCGUUAUCAGCAUUAAUCUUCUAGUAGUUUAUUUCAUAGUGCAAUUGGAACUGAUGCUGAUUAGUCUUUAAUCUACUUUAAUUAUUCCGGAAGGAAAUUUCACCAACGCAAAAAGUAGAUCUUUUGCAACUCCACUUCCAUAGUUCUUGAUUCUUUUCACUGAACCAAACGCCAAAUUUUGGUCUGAAAAUGAAACGGCUUCUUCUAGUGCAUCUCUUGUAUCGAAAGAUACAAUGCUUAUAAAAUGUUAUCUUUUUAGUUCAUAUAUCAAUGCUAGUUAUGCUUAUUCUUGCGUGAUUAGGAAGCCAAAGGCAAAUGAGUUGUUGGAAUAAUGUACAAUUUGCAUGCCAAAAUUAGAAUCUUCAAGUAUUAUCCAAAGAACCCAUGGCUGAUGGUUCCCUCUUGGUACUAAUAAGUGAGGGACUACACGUUCCUUGGCAACUCCCAAAUUUUCUAGCUCCGUUAUUCAAGUAGAAGGGGAGAUGGGUAAGGACGAGAAAGGCAGAAUCAUCAAAGGCUUACAUGGCUGGGGCUCCUAUUCCUGGAACGGAUGGCCUGCUCGAUCUUAUCAUCCAGCAGCAGCUGAAGCUCGUUAUGGCGGCCAAGGAUAUACCAGCCUCCACCACCAUCAUACUCUCCUGCUGCUGCUCCACCACACCAAGGCAGGUCCGAAUGGGUGAUGCAUCGUAAGCAGCCCUGUUGACGAGGCAUGUUUUGCUUGAAGUGCCAAAAAGAGCCAAUUGGAAUUUAACUAUCUAACCCACAGUGAGUCUCAUAUUCAGCUCAAGGUGUGGCGUUGUACAUAGAUUACUUCUUUUUUCUGCAUUUGCGAUUAGAUGGCCCAAAUGGCCAAUGCUUCGGUCAGGAGUUAUAACAACUCCUGAUUUAAUAAAAUCAUGGAGUUUAUACACUGUACAGAUGAGAUAUUUAUCCGUUUAUCGAUUGCUGGUCCAUUCUUCUUUUC